AUGAUGUUGGGAUUCUGCUCUUUAAGAUAUUUCCCAGCACCUGUUAUAGUACCACCAGUACCUAUACCACUAACAAGUGCAUCGACUUUGUCUCCGAAUAUAAGUCUUACAACUUUAUCUAGCACUCAUGAUGAAGCUAUAUUGCCACCACAUCCCAAAGAAAAAAAGCGUCAAUUGCAGUCUGAUAUGUGGAACCACUUCCCCGCGGUGGAAGGUGAUGAGAAAAAGGCUAAAUGUCAAUACUGUGGAGUCUUAAUUAAGUAA